rnacentral:lncRNA from 1 species
GGACUGCGUUUUUUCCGAACGCCAGCAGCAGGGUCAGAAGGGAGGUAGUCGCCCUCCGUCGUGGCCUGGCGUGGAUUCCGAGCGUUGGUGUCUGGCGGUUUCCGACCGUUGGUGUCUGGCACGCGCCACCCCGAUGUACCAGACAAGAAGACAAGAAAAUGAUUUGAGGACAGCUUCAAUCGCGGUGUGAAGAAGAAAGCAACAAAACGACCACUGAAAACAAUGCCGGUGGCAAAACAUCCAAAGAAAGGGUCCCAAGUGGUACAUCGUCAUAGCUGGAAACAGUCAGAGCCACCAGCCAAUGAUCUUUUCAAUGCUGCGAAAGCUGCCAAAAGUGACAUGCAGUGUGGCCAUGAGGUCUGCCGGAAGUGACUUGUUGGUGUUAUCUCCUGAGUUAAAAUGUGAAGGGAUUUUUUUUUUUCAGAUUACUGAGAGUCUUCAGUUACUAGAUCCAGACACGGGGACUGCAGAGAAAGGCUGUGUGCAUCCGCUGUCUACUCCACUGUCUCCUCUGCAGAGGCGGAUUUCCCUGACUGAAGACCAUGUUGCAGGCCCACAGCUGCCUACAGAACCGUCCCAAAAUAUGGCAAAGAAACCUAUUCUGAGCGAUAGGGUCUCACCAUGUUGCCCAGGCUGGUCUUGAACUCCUGGACUCAUCCUAAAGUGCUGGCCUCUCAUUCCCUGUCUGUGCACACCUCACGGCAAGGGCCAGCCUGUUUCCUCCCGGUCACCUCCAAAUCUUGCUGCUUUUAAUUCAACUCAGAGGUAUGCACUUGAGGUAGGAGGGCAGGGGAAGUGGGGAUGGCAGGACAUGGAUGGCCCUUGAGGCAUUGGCUCUGGGUGUCAUGGGCUGUGAGAGUCAAGAAGGGCAGUGGCCUGCCUGACUUGGGUUCGAAAGGGUCACUCUGGCCACUGCGGUGAGAACUGAAACUAGCCAGGCCAAUUCUCCAUUGUUCCUGCUCUUCCAGGUAGGAGAAUAUUAGAUUAGGUCUGGAGUCAGAAGGUAGCAGGGGCUGGGGGUUGCAGGGGGAUGUUGAGAAGAAGUGGUCCUUUGGUCAGGGUGGGAAGCCAACAGGAUUUCCUGGUGCAUUGGAGGUGAAAGGGAAGAGGCGCUGGUGGUUGUGCUUUGGGCCUGAGCAGCCAGAAGCCGUUGCCAUCACCUAUGACAAGGGAGACAGCGCCUGGGGCAGAGCCCAGUAUGGGGUGCAUUCAGGGUAGAUCAGGAGGUAUGAGUGGGCAGUGGGCGAGCCAGGCU